AACGAACGCUGGCGGCAUGCCUAACACAUGCAAGUCGAACGAGACCUUCGGGUCUAGUGGCGCACGGGUGCGUAACACGUGGGAAUUUGCCUCGGGGUAUGGAAUAACUCAGGGAAACUUGAGCUAAUACCAUAUAAUGUCUUCGGACCAAAGAUUUAUCGCCCUGAGAUAACGCCCGCGUAGGAUUAGCUUAGGUUGGGUAGGGGUAAAGCUCCACCGAAGGCGAACGAUUCCUUAGCGUGGUCUGAGAGGAUGAUCAGCCACACGUGGGACUG
rnacentral:rRNA from 1 species